AACGAACGCUGGCGGCAGGCCUAACACAUGCAAGUCGAGCGAGAUCUUCGGAUCUAGCGGCGGACGGGUGAGUAACGCGUGGGAACGUACCCUUUUCUACGGAAUAGCCUCGGGAAACUGAGAGUAAUACCGUAUACGCCCUUCGGGGGAAAGAUUUAUCGGAGAAGGAUCGGCCCGCGUUGGAUUAGGUAGUUGGUGGGGUAAUGGCCUACCAAGCCGACGAUCCAUAGCUGGUUUGAGAGGAUGAUCAGCCACACUGGGACUGAGACACGGCCCAGACUCC
rnacentral:rRNA from 2 species